ensembl:misc_RNA Metazoa_SRP Metazoan signal recognition particle RNA
GCUGGGCACGGUCGCGCGUGCCUGUAAUCCCAGCUACUCGGGAGACUGAGGCAGAAGAAUCGCUUGAACCCAGGAGGUGGAGGUUGCAGUGAGUCGGGAUCGUGCCACUGCACUCUAGCCUGGGUGACAGAGUGAGACUCUGUCUCAA